UACGUAGGUGGCGAGCGUUGUCCGGAUUUACUGGGCGUAAAGGGAGCGUAGGCGGGCUUUUAAGUGAGAUGUGAAAUACUCGGGCUCAACUUGAGUGCCGCAUUUCAAACUGGAAGUCUAGAGUGCAGGAGAGGAGAAUGGAAUUCCUAGUGUAGCGGUGAAAUGCGUAGAGAUUAGGAAGAACACCAGUGGCGAAGGCGAUUCUCUGGACUGUAACUGACGCUGAGGCUCGAAAGCGUGGGGAGCAAACAGG
rnacentral:rRNA from 1 species